rnacentral:rRNA from 1 species
UACGGAGGAGGCAAGCGUUAUCCGGAAUUAUUGGGCGUAAAGCGUCCGUAGGUGGCCAUGCAAGUCUGCUGUCAAAGCAUGGUGCUUAACUCCAUAGAGGCAGUGGAAACUGAAUAGCUAGAGUUCGGUAGGGGUAGCGGGAAUUCCCAGUGUAGCGGUGAAAUGCGUAGAGAUUGGGAAGAACAUCGGUGGCGAAAGCGCGCUACUGGGCCGAAACUGACGCUGAGGGACGAAAGAUAGGGGAGCGCAAGGG